rnacentral:rRNA from 1 species
AGUGGACGCUGGCGGUAGGCCUAACACAUGCAAGUCGAACGGCAGCACAGUAAGAGCUUGCUCUUACGGGUGGCGAGUGGCGGACGGGUGAGGAAUACAUCGGAAUCUACUUUUUCGUGGGGGAUAACGUAGGGAAAUUUACGCUAAUACCGCAUACGACCUACGGGUGAAAGCAGGGGAUCUUCGGACCUUGCGCGAUUGAAUGAGCCGAUGUCGGAUUAGCUAGUUGGCGGGGUAAAGGCCCACCAAGGCGACGAUCCGUAGCUGGUCUGAGAGGAUGAUCAGCCACACUGGAACUGAGACACGGUCCAGACUCCUACGGGAGGCAGCAGUGGGGAAUAUUGGACAAUGGGCGCAAGCCUGAUCCAGCCAUACCGCGUGGGUGAAGAAGGCCUUCGGGUUGUAAAGCCCUUUUGUUGGGAAAGAAAAGCAGCAGGUUAAUACCCCGCUGUUCUGACGGUACCCAAAGAAUAAGCACCGGCUAACUUCGUG